rnacentral:tRNA from 1 species
AGACCCCUAGCUCAGAGGCAGAGCAGCGCCCUUACAAGGCGACGGUUGGGACUUCGACAUUCCCGGGGUCUACCA